rnacentral:rRNA from 1 species
UAUGAUCCAGAGUACCACGGGACACGUGAAACCCUGUGGGAAGCAGGAGGGACCACCCUCCAAGGCUAAAUACUACCUAGUGACCGAUAGCGUAUAGUACCGUGAGGGAAAGGUGAAAAGAACCCCGGGAGGGGAGUGAAAUAGAACCUGAAACCCUGCACUUACAAGCUGUGGAAGCACAUUUCUUGUGUGACCGCGUACUUUUUGUAGAACGGGCCAACGAGUUACGUUAAGUAGCAAGGUUAAGCACUUAAGGUGCGGAGCCGUAGCGAAAGCGAGUUUUAACUGAGCGUUCAGUUACUUGACGUAGACCCGAAACCGGGCGACCUACCCAUGAGCAGGAUGAAGCGAAAGUAAAAUUUCGUGGAGGUCCGAACCCACGAGCGUUGAAAAGCUCGGGGAUGACUUGUGGGUAGCGGUGAAAUUCCAAUCGAGCCCGGAGAUAGCUGGUUCUCCCCGAAAUAGCUUUAGGGCUAGCCUCAAGGUGAGAGAUACGGAGGUAGAGCACUGAAUGUCCUAGGGGGUAUUGCACCUACCGAAGACUAUCAAACUCCGAAUGCCGUCAUCUUAUACUUGGGAGUCAGACUGUGGGUGAUAAGAUUCAUAGUCGAAAGGGCAACAGCCCAGAUCGUCAGCUAAGGUCCCUAAAUGUAAGUUAAGUGGUAAAGGAUGUGGGAUUGCACAGACAACCAGGAUGUUGGCUUAGAAGCAGCCACUCAUUCAAAGAGUGCGUAAUAGCUCACUGGUCGAGUGAUCCUGCGCCGAAGAUUUCCGGGGCUAAAACUUACUACCGAAGCUACGGCAUCAGUAAUGAUGGGUAGGGGAGCUUCCCAUACGGGUUGAAGCAUGACCGUAAGGACAUGUGGACAGUAUGGGAGUGAGAAUGUUGGCAUGAGUAGCGAGAUGUGGGUGAGAAUCCCACAGGCCGUAAACCCAAGGUUUCCAGGGGAAGGUUCGUCCGCCCUGGGUUAGUCGGGACCUAAGCUGAGGCCGAAAGGCGUAGGUGAUGGACAACAGGUUGAUAUUCCUGUACUACCGAUAACCGUUUGAGAGAAGGGAUGACACAGUAGGAUAAGCUAAGCACACUGUUGGUUAUGUGUGCCCAAGCAUUGAGGCAGUCAAAGUAGGCAAAUCCGCUUUGAUAAUGCUGGGAUGUGAUGGGGAGCGAAAUUUAGUAGCGAAGUAGCUGAUUUCACACUGUCAAGAAAAGUCUCUAUCGAGGUUAAAGGUACCCGUACCGCAAACCGACACAGGUGGGUGAGGAGAGUAUCCUAAGGCCAGCGAGAGAACUGUUGUUAAGGAACUCGGCAAAAUGACCCCGUAACUUAGGGAUAAGGGGUGCCACCAUCAGGUGGCCGCAGAGAAUAGGCCCAAGCGACUGUUUACCAAAAACAUAGGUUUCUGCUAAGUCGCAAGACGAUGUAUAGGAGCUGACGCCUGCCCGGUGCUGGAAGGUUAAGGGGAUCUGUUAGAGCAAUCGAAGCAGUGAACUUAAGCCCCAGUAAACGGCGGCCGUAACUAUAACGGUCCUAAGGUAGCGAAAUUCCUUGUCGGGUAAGUUCCGACCCGCACGAAAGGCGUAACGAUUUGGGCACUGUCUCAACAACAGACUCGGUGAAAUUGUAAUUCCGGUGAAGAUGCCGGAUACCUGCGACAGGACGGAAAGACCCCAUGGAGCUUUACUGUAGCUUGACAUUGGGUCUUGGUACUACAUGUACAGGAUAGGUGGGAGGCUUUGAAACCAGGACGC